rnacentral:rRNA from 1 species
UACGUAGGGUGCAAGCGUUAAUCGGAAUUACUGGGCGUAAAGCGUGCGCAGGCGGUUUUGUAAGACUGUCGUGAAAUCCCCGGGCUUAACCUGGGAAUGGCGAUGGUGACUGCAAGGCUAGAGUUUGGCAGAGGGGGGUAGAAUUCCACGUGUAGCAGUGAAAUGCGUAGAGAUGUGGAGGAACACCGAUGGCGAAGGCAGCCCCCUGGGUCAAGACUGACGCUCAUGCACGAAAGCGUGGGGAGCAGACAGG